UGAACUUCGUCUCAGCAGGAUUGCUCCAUAUUGUUUGAUUCUGUUGGAAAGUCAAUCUCUGAUGUGAGUUUCAAGGUAACUGUUACACGUAUGUACAAAUGUGAAGCCUCCAUAUUAGAAAAAUCAAUUUCAUUUGUAAAAUUACUCAUUGUUUUCUUUGUACAGAGAGCAAUGGGAAGGGUAUGAUUGAAGUGCUGGGCUUCGAAUCCAAAUCUAGUGGUGGACUAAACUAUCUGCAAAAUAAUGAAUAUACUUGCAUACUCUCUGCACAAUUUGUUGGAUUUCCAAAAUCAGCUUUCCAGCCUACAGGUUUGACCCUUCCUGUCAUAGUUCCCAUCUUAGUUUCUACUAAAGUAUGCCUUAGCUGGCUUUGGAAACAUUUCUUGGAAUGACACUUCAGUUUUUACUACGAUGCGAAAGAGGUCAACUUAAACGUCUGUAUUUACUAAUGCAUAUGUAAUUUUCAAUUUCGAAUUAUAUAAAGUAUUUGCUACCUUGCCUAUUCUCAUUUCUCAACAUGCCAUAAUCAGUGGUGGUUAUUUCAUAGCUUCUUCCUCACCUAGAAAUCCUUAAAGUAGCCUUCUUUCCGCUUUAUUGAAGGCAGCAUUUUUGGCUUGAACCUUAAAGUAGUCUUAUUCACGAAGUUGCACUUCUGUGUCUAAUGUCUGUGACAGUAGCUUGUCAGUUUUGGUACACGAAAAUGGUGGAGAACUUUAUUAGAUUCUAUUCCCUCUUGUUAUUGAGUCCUUCUGGAAGUUAGUUUUAAAAUUACUGAUAUAAGAAACAAUUGGAGCUGAUCUGUGUAUUAAUCUUGUUUGCUAAUAAAUAGACAGAACAGGGUUGUAGAAACAGUUGUUGUUCUUAUUUUAAAGAAGCCAAGCACGCAUCUAGCAAUAGAAAUAGAAAGUUCGGUGAAUGCUUUAAAGCACAGCCUGAUUUUAUCAAGGAUUCUUGUGGGGUAUGGGAGAAGUGGAGACCACAAAUUACUAUGUGAGGGAUUGAAAGAUAUGAAGCCGAUAAUUGCUUGCAAUUUUGCAAACUGUGACAAUCUCUGCAAUUCAACUUGCUAAUGGAUAUAGCUGUUCAUUUCUCACUUUCUAUAUGUCAGAUCAUUAACAGCGGGUCUCAAAAGAUUGCGUAGCCUAACCCAGAAAUGCAUGCAAUUGAAGUCAAUGUCUGGUACCCACAGGUUGAAUGCUUGGGAAUAAUACUGAGAUUGUCUCAAUGUAAUGCUUAAGAGCAUUUGUGCAUUGAUUGCUGCAAUCUAUUUGUCAUUGUGCAUUAAGUAGGGAAUGGUGUUAGUGUCUAUUUUCUAAGCUGCCUACCAAACAUAGUGAGAUGCUGCUCAAGGUAAUAGGUUAUAGGGCCAAAUUAUAUUGUUACUUACCAUUGCAUAUGUUCACUCUUCCUGGAACGAGGUAUCUGAUUGUAUCUGGGUUUUCAUUUUUUGUUAUAACUUUUACUAGUAGACAAUGUUAUUGUUAUGUAAUUUUCAUGCAGUUUAUAGUGGUUUGUUGUCUUCAUGAACUUAAUACUGUGAGUCCAAACAUUACCAAAAAUUUGGAUAUCUUUUCACAUUACAUUCAAGAAUUGGGAUAUAUGCAAAAGUGGCAGUGCGUAGUUUCUACAACAAAAGAUGAAGCAGGACCUACUAAAGCAAAGGCUGUGGAGCAGUAGUAUGUUUCAAUCCAAGAACUGUCCAGGUCCUUAAUAUGCUCCAUAAGGUCGUCCGCUUAAUUACAGAUGUCUCAAAGCAAGCACUAUGAAUAGUCAUCUAUAACGGACAGCCGCUGUGGAGCGUUAUACAGUAUAUAGGAUAAAAUAGGGGAUUCUUUUUGGCAAAGUAGACUAUAGCAAUUAAGCAACAGUUUGAAAUUUGUUAUACUAUUCCAAAGUCAAUAUGAUUAUGCAUAAAAUGUCAAUAACAAGGUACUUGUUUCUAAAGAGCAAAUGUCAAUGCAGCUAGUCAAAAACACAAAAAAGAAGAAAUGCAGCAGCUAGGAUGUCCCGGGGGAUUAGAGUGUCGGCAAAUGGUCAUGCUCACACACGGUCGAUCUUUAGCCACCAGAGAAUGCGAUCUUUGAUGAUGAUAGUGUAAGCAGGGCAUGGUGCCUACUGAACAUAUUGAAAUGCGGGUUGAGGUUAUAGUGGCAAAGUUCAUUAUUAAACCA